GAUGAACGCUGGCGGCGUGCCUAAUACAUGCAAGUCGAGCGAACGGACGAGAAGCUUGCUUCUCUGAUGUUAGCGGCGGACGGGUGAGUAACACGUGGAUAACCUACCUAUAAGACUGGGAUAACUUCGGGAAACCGGAGCUAAUACCGGAUAAUAUUUUGAACCGCAUGGUUCAAAAGUGAAAGACGGUCUUGCUGUCACUUAUAGAUGGAUCCGCGCUGCAUUAGCUAGUUGGUAAGGUAACGGCUUACCAAGGCAACGAUGCAUAGCCGACCUGAGAGGGUGAUCGGCACCACUGGAACUGAGAAACGGUCCAGACUCCUACGGGAGGCAGCAGUAGGGAAUCUUCCGCAAUGGGCGAAAGCCUGACGGAGCAACGCCGCGUGAGUGAUGAAGGUCUUCGGAUCGUAAAACUCUGUUAUUAGGGAAGAACAUAUGUGUAAGUAACUGUGCACAUCUUGACGGUACCUAAUCAGAAAGCCACGGCUAACUACGUG
rnacentral:rRNA from 1 species